rnacentral:lncRNA from 1 species
CUCUUCAGGCCCGCCCGACUCUUGAGCUGCCUAAAAAAGGUGCCCCGGAAACAACUGAUCAGCAGGUAUGCCUAAUGAUACCCAAAAGUUUUUGAUUUUUCGAAAUUGUCCUAAUCAUCUCGGUUUCUGUUCGGUAUUAGUAAGAUUCAAUGAGUUUUCCAUUUUCUAUUUUAAAAAAGAGUCGCACUGAUAUUGGACUCUGUCUUCACGGAUUUUUGGCCACAGCAGAUAUAAAUGAGAUAGUGUAAUUAAUUUCACUAAUAGUUACUGCACUAUAUUCAUGAUUUUUCUAUUUCUUUAAGUCUUUAAAUGGCAAAGUUUCAAAAAGGUUAAACCUAACAAAUCAAAUUAUGCAAUAAAAUAGAUCAGAUACAGACAUACUAACAAAUCAAUGCUGCUAGUAUUUGAAAAUUAUCAUAUGCAUAAAGAUAUAGCAGUAGCAUUGAUCUGUAUGAUAUCCAAUAAGAGAAGAUAUAAAUUACACGAGAGUGGCAUGUUUCUCAAGAUCACUGGUCGCUGCAACAUUUAGUUUCAAUAGGACUAUAGAAGUAUAGCACAAUCGGUUUGCGAUGGGGACUUUGGGUGUUAAUUACCUAUAAGCUUGUUGUUGUUCCAUCACCUAAAUGAUAAAUGGACCUUGAGCCUAACUUAAUGCCAAAAACUAGCUCAUGAGGUGAGAAUUGCCAAAAACCAUAUCAAGAGACCUUCCCAUCCCUUAAUGGCCGAUGUGGGACUGAAUACCCCAUCCCCCUGCACGCCCAGGACGGGACAUUUGGAGCAUGAACAAUAUAAGAUUUGGGGGGGAGGGGACAACAUCGGUAAAUGAAUUGGGAUGGCCCUGACUCUGAUACUAUAAAUAAGACUUUAGGCUUAACUCAACACAGAAAUUCGAUACGACUAUAGAUUUAUAUUGAAAUUUACGAUUUUAAUUAUUAGAAUAACCUAAAAAUCAGUUCGGUUCGAUUCAGUUCGAUUUGACCGAUUUAGUCGGUUUUCAAAUAACUGUUGAUACCCCUAGCGUCAUCUAUUCAGAUUGUUGACCAAUGCAUCACAAACAAACAAGUGCUUCUGUGAUAUGUAGUAGUGAUGAUGUAAAAACAUAAACAUUAGCAAAAUUAUGACAAUAAAAGGUAAACUCGAUGUAACAAGUAUUGAUUGAUAACACAGAAUAAUUAAAUUGUACUAAAUAAUAUGUUAUAAUAGAUCAAAUUAUAUGAUAGUACAAAGAAUUUCUAUACCAUAUAUAAGCGCGUAUAUACGUUAAAUAUCACGAGAUUGAAAUUGUAAUACAUGCCCCUUCCUUGUGAAGAUUAUAUAUCUACUCUAUUUUCUGAUGUGAUCCCUUUUAUUAUCUUGAAAAAGGGUCCUGCAUUGGAGGAUGAUGAAGUUGUCGGCUUUGAUGAGGAAGCGGACAAAGUAAUCAAGCGACUUGUUAAAGAAUCAAAGGAUCUAGAUAUUAUUCCAGUGGUGGGUAUGCCGGGACUUGGAAAAACCACACUAGCAAGAAAAAUCUACAAUGAUCCUCAGCUUUCAUAUGAAUUUUUCGGCGUCCAUUGGGUUUACGUCGGCCAAUCUUACAAAAUAAAGGAUGUUUUUCUUAAUAUUCUCAAAUUCUUCACAAGACGCACCGAAGAUUAUCAGCAUGAGGAUGUGGACGCAUUAGCUAAGGUGAUAGCCGGUUUUAUCAAGAAAGGAGGUAGAUGUCUCAUUUGCUUAGAUGAUGUUUGGGAAACAAAAGUCAUUGAUUAUGUAAAGAAAGUUUUCCCAGAAAACGAAAAGGGGCAUCGAGUCAUGAUGACGACGCGUGACAAAGUUUUGGCUACUUAUGCCAAUCCAGAGCCUCACGAUCUGAAAUUUUUGACUCCAAAAGAAAGUUUUGAAUUGUUGGUAAAGAGAGUUUUUGGCAAGAAAAGUUGUCCUAAUGAUUUAGUAGGACAUGGAGAAAGCAUUGCAGGAAAAUGUGGUGGAGUACCACUUGCAGUAGUGGUUAUUGCAGGAGCAUUAAGAGGUCGUCCGAACACAAGUGAUUGGAUAAGAGUUGAGAGAAAUGUGGUUCAGCAUCUUUAUAUGAAUAGCGAAGAAAGCUGCUUGAAAUUUGUGGAGAUGAGUUACGAUCAUUUGCCCCAAGAAGUACAGACAUGCUUCUUGUAUUGUGGUGUCUUUCCUCGAGGAUUUGAUAUCCCUUCUUGGAAAGUGAUUCGCUUGUGGAUAGCGGAGGGGUUGAUAAAGCCGCAGGAAUCGUAUACUCUGGAGGAGAUAGCAGAGUUUUAUUUGAACGAUCUUAUCAAUAGAAAUUUAGUGAUAUUGCAACAAAAGAGGUCUGAUGGUCAAAUAAAAACUUGUCGUCUUCACGACAUGUUGCAUCAGUUCUGCAAAAAGGAGGCUAGUAACAAAUGGCUUUUUCAAGAAGUCUGUCUAACUCCUGAUCAAACUAUUCCUAUGGAAGACCCAAAUAAAUCUCGUCGAUUGUGCAUUCAACCCUCUAAUCUGAAAGACUUUCUCUCCAAAAAACCUUCUGCAGAACAUGUUAGAUCUUUCUAUUGUUUUUCCUCAAAAGAAAAACAAAUCAGCGGGUUGACUCCUAAUGACAUUAAACUCAUCCACAAAGCAUUUCCGCUUGUCAGGGUUUUGGACGUUGAAUCCCUCAAGUUUCUCUUCUCUAAGGAUUUUAACCAGUUAUUUCAUUUGAGAUAUAUUGCUAUCUCAGGUGACUUCAAUGCCAUUCCUUUGACCUUUGGUAAAUUUUGGAAUUUACAAACUCUUAUUCUUAAUACGAGUACCUCAGAGUCCACCCUUGAUGUAAAAGCAGACAUAUGGAACAUGUUACAGUUGAGGCAUCUUCACACCAACAUACCUGCAAAAUUGCAACCCCCUACUGCGACGACAUCAGGUAAAGCUUCUUGUCUACAAACUCUUUGUAUGGUUGCACCAGAAAGUUGUGAGAAAGAAGUGCUCGCAAAGGCUUGUCAUCUGAAAAAAUUGAGCAUUCGAGGACAAAUGGCAGCUUUUCUUGGUGCUUACAAGGGUGGAAUCAACAAUCUUGAAGAGCUAAAGUGCUUGGAACAAUUGAAAUUGUUGAAUGAUGUUCUUUACAUGAAUAAAGCGCCCCACCUCCCUCCAACAUUCUCCCAACUUGUACGUACUGUGAAGAAGUUAACUUUGACAAAUACAAGGUUUGCUUGGAGUGAGGCAGAUAAAUUGGGGCAAUUGGAAUCCCUUGAGAUCCUAAAGUUUAAAGAAAACGCAUUCGCCGGUGAUUCCUGGAAGCCAAAGAUGGGAUUUAGUGCACUCCGGGUUUUGUGGAUUGAAAGGGCAGAAUUUGAAACUUGGGAGGCUUCGGAGCAUAACUUCCCCGUUCUUAGGAACCUUGUUCUUAUGUCUUGUGAUAAGCUCGACGCUGUGCCAUUUGAGCUGGCUAAUAUAUCUAACCUUCACGAGAUGCGGUUGGAAAACACAAGCAAAGCGGUCAAAUCUGCAACAGAUAUACUGGAAAGCAAGACAUCUAAAAGCAUCAAAUUCAUCCUUACCAUAUUCCCUCCUGAAGCUGGAUCCAAGCCCACGCAGUGAACUGAAAGGUCAGUCGAAUUUAUUUGUAUUGAUAGUCUUCGCUAAACUCUUGUCUGCACGACUAUAUUCUUUUUCAGCUGGCAUACAUUAUCCAUGAAAUUUCAUAGUUCCCCUUACUUUCUGAAUUACACUCUGCUCAUGAUUCGACCAAGAUUCAGAUUAGAAAAUACCCUUCGUUUUAUUCUAAUAUAAAUUAAUCUCUUUCAUAGUAUACGAGUAUAUGGGUUAUUGUGAAUGAUUAUUAAUAGUUUCUUCAAAACCUCUCUGCAACAGUUUUCUUUUCUUUGUUUCCCUUUUUUUCAUUUACUAAUUUUGCUCCUUUUUACAGGAGAGAAUGGAGACAUUGAGGUUGUUGGAAAUCUGGGAUCAUGGAUAUGGUGCGACUCAUGUUUUCUGAUAAGAUUGUACCAAUAAAGAAAGCCUUUUGUUUAUACAAGCAUUGUCAUUUUUGAAAUAAAUGACAUAUGUUUAAAUAAAUGCACCCCGCUCUCGGCUUGAAACAAACACCCUUCCUGGGAUUCUUGCAGUUCGAGUUACGCAUCAUGUGGAGUAUUUUCUUUCUCAGUUGUAAAACUACUGUUUGCAUGUUUCCAAUUCUGUUUCCGUUGUAUUUGGUUUGUUUCAUUUUUGUAAGACUGUUGCUUUCAUCUAUCAUUGUUCUGUUGAAAGACAAAUGUCAUUCCAUUCCAAGCAAAUAAAGUGUUGUGUGUUUUAUUACAAACUUGGAAUCUUUCAAGUUCAGAUUAUGCAUCCAUAGGUUGCCAAAAUGAGUUUAACUAUGUACUGAAAGUGUCAUAGAUUUUUUACAGUAUUAGAUUACCUAAAAGGUAAUUACAGGUAAUUUUUGCUCAUAAAAAGUAGGAUUAGUAACUUAAGAAAUAAGGCAUAUUACCUGCUUGGCUCAACAGAUGAAUGAAGUGCAAAAACACAUGACCACGUCAAAGAGCAUUCUAUUUGUUUAAGAAGCGAUGUCACCCUGAAUCCCCCCUGCAGAAAGGAGGAAAAUAAGAAAAAGAAGAAAGAGAUUUUUACACUCUGUCACCUGAUCCAAACUUACAAAUAAAAUGAGCCACGUUUUUCAGCCCUUAUCCGAAUUUGCCCAUAUUGUAUAAUAUAAUUUCAAAGUUAGGUCACUUUCCCCUAUUUUCCUUCUUGCCCCCUCCUGAUCGUUAAUUGACAAACUCGAUUUAUUGUUGGUGUUUGGAGCUUAAAUCAUAGUUAGAGUACUGAUUUUGUAAGAUUGGGUUGAAAAUUCAAUUAGAAAGAUUAUCGACCUUUGCUAAAAAAGCUUGAAGAAGUAGAAUUUAAUAUUUGUGAGAAAUUUGGAGAGGAUCUUGUUUAUGCUUGUUGGAAAUAGUCCAAGGAAGUUGUUCUACAAAAUUUAAAAUCAUUUGGUGGAGAUUUGGAGUAAGUUUGAACAAGAACUGCAAUUGAACAAUAAUUGCAGAAAAGUUUGUCUCUAUA